rnacentral:rRNA from 1 species
AAAACUCACCAGGUCAGGACACGGUAAGGAUUGACGGACUGAAGGCUCUUUCUCGAUUCCGUGGAAAGUGGUGCAUGGCCGUUUUGGUUGGUGGAUCGAUCCGUCUGGUUAAUUCCGUUAACGAACGAGACCUCGGCACUCCGAAUAGCGCGGCGGACGUCGCGGGCCUCCGGGCCGUCUUCCGCACGAGCUUCUUAGAGGGACCGUCCCCCGCCGGGGAAGGAGGUGCGAGGCAACGACAGGUCUGUGAUGCCCUUAGAUGUUCUGGGCCGCACGCGCAUUACACUGACGCGUCCAACGGGUGACUCCCGACCCGAAGGGGCCGGGGAAUCCGCAAGGCGCGUCGUGAUGGGGAUUGAACGUUGCAAUUGUUGUUCACGAACGAGGAAUUCCUAGUAGGCGCGGGUCAUCAACCCGCGCCGAUUACGUCCCUGC